AUGUCUUUGACUGUGCCAUUUUUUUCCAUAUUCUCUUUUUUUUUCUCUUUUUUGUUUUAGAAAAUCGCUACAUCUCUUGUAGCCACAUUGGUUCCAAUUGCAGCAAUAUACCACAUUUUUUUCUACCUUUCUCAUUGCAGUUUUACAAAUACUCACCUCAACUUUCUUAUCCACCCUUUUCUAGAAAUUGCCAAACUAUUGUCACCAUUUUACUCUUUCAGUUAUAAGUUUUAAUAAUUCCCAUGUCAGUGGUCAUAUCCUCUUCUUAUUUUUCUGUCUGUCAUUUAUUCACAGGCUUAUAUUUAUAUCUGUGUUUUUUUGUUUAAAGUAAGUCUUCUUAGUGCAUAAAUAGGAUUUGUCAUUGUGUUUUUACCCACUACUUGUAAAGUAUCCCAUCAUAAUAGUAGUGUAUAGCUAGUCAUUUGCAUAAAAGGACAAUAGUAUUAUAUUGGCAUUUCCCAACAUAAGACAUCCAAAGUCCCAAACAGUAAAUGAAUUAUUUCUAUCCUUAGUAUAUUUUUAUAUUUAUGUUUUGCAUUAGUAUUGUAAUUCAUUAUUGAUCAUUGGGCUCUUCUAAAUUUCAAGUCGCAUAUUGCCUUAACCUGUUGAGUGUCAAUCAUACAAGUUGACAAAGCAAAACAAAAACUACCAAGAGACACUUUUUACAGCACACAUUCCACAAACAGCUCAUGCUGCUCAAAAUCAAAACAAAGCUCUUAUGAACCAACACAUCCGCUACUGUGUGAAACUACAGGGAAAAGUGCCCUCUGUCCAAGAGACACCUACACAUCCACAUGGACUGUAACAUUAAUCGUGACUCCCUACGACCCUAUACCCAUGCAUGUUGAGAAUGCCUGAGUCUACUUUUAUAUGGAGCCAUCCCUUACUCCUUCUUCUCUCAUUAAGAACAGUAUAUGCAGAAUACCUUACAGCCACAGUUUUUAUUCUUAGCCUUUGGACAUAAUUAAAUUUGCUUGUUUUAUUAAUACAUAAAUUAUAUUACUUAGUUACAGAUUAGAUAGAUCACUCUCUAAAUCAACGUUGAAAACCACAGUUGUUAUCUGCUUGUAAAAAUCAUUUAUCCUCUUUUUGUUUGCUCCCUCUCAAUGGGCUUGUGUAAGCUGGCAGCAGAAUCCUCUGUGUUUAUUAAGUGAAUCAAGGUAAGUUUGUGUGACACCCAUAGGUCUUGUCUGUGUUUUGGUAGGCAUCAGUUUAUUUUCACAAAGCAUGAAAUAUGAUCCUACAGGUCGAUUUUCACAUUGCCACUUGGCAUGAAGUUGGCUUGUAUACUAAGCAUAUAUGAUGUCUGAGCAUGGUUAACAGCAUAUGUGUAUAUGUUUAUAUGAGCAUAAAUAUGUCAGAGAGCUGUGCUGUUGUGGGAUGUCUGUGUAUCAUAGAGAUUGCUAGAGAAGAGUUGAGAACAAACCUUUUCUUGGACCAAUGAUGACAGUUACCAAGGUAUGACAAAGAUGACAAAUGAUACCUGUCUGAAACUCUAAGGUCCAACAUGAAAGAUAAGUAGAUAAGCAAGGAUCCUUGAAGGAGAGUGCCAUUUUUUAUCUUGUGCUCUCUUCUUUACUCCUCAGAAUGGGUACUCCUGACAUGGCUUCUGCAUUAUUUGUGGUCACCAGUACAACAUUUGUAUCCCUGCAUUGCACUUGGGCCAAUGAUGGACCAUGUAAUUAGAGGAUCCACUAAGGGUCAAGGGCUCCAUUUGCACCCUGCUGAGGAGGAGAACAAGACCAGUAAUGAACUCUUCCAAGGGCAUCUGUUCAUCUUCAAUGGCUUCCUGAUCAUCAUUUGCUUGGGAUGGUUUGAUAUCUGGUCAACGUUAUUGUCAUGGCUUUGAUGGUUUGUGGAAGGUUAGUCACUGUGUUACUAAGAUGUGAAAUACAUUCACACUAGCUCAAAUGUAAUAAAGAACAUACAUGGAAUUAGUAUAAAAUAGUAUAUCAGAUUAUGCUUCUGUGUUAAAAUGAGGGUACUUUUUGAAGGAGACACAUUUAUGUUUACCAUGAUAAAAUGAAUGAAGAAAAACAGAACCAGUCUUGAAUUGAUGAUGACAAUGAUGGCAUAUAUGAGUUAUAUACAUAAUGACUGUGCCUCUGAGGUUCAUCAUAAAGUUUAGUUGUCAACAGUAGAGGUGGGGUUGACUUCUAGCCUUAUGAAUAUGCAUUUCCUGAUGUUCUUACAACUGGAUCAGUGUAAGAAUCAAUAAAUAUACAAAUAAAAAUAAGUAAGUAUGGUCCAAUUAUAAAAUACAUGAUAAAUAAGAAAUACUUUUUAGAUCAAAUAGGAAUCCUACACAUCUUCUUGAGAAAGUGGUGAAAGUUACAAUAUAAAGCAUAACUUUAUGUAUGCCCAAAUGAUUGUUAGGCUUGCCAUUAUUUAAUUAAGUGCUAAUUAAAUAGAUAUCCUUCUCUUAUAACUGAUUACCUAAGACUGAGUAGGUUAAGGUCAACAGUGAAAAACAGCAUCUUAAUUUUGUCUUUCCCUCUUCUGCUUUGCAUUCCUCACAACUUUGCUGACUUGAGGAUACCUCUAUGGCUGAGAGCUCUGAUGACGUCAUAGGUGUAGCUGGGCAGACUGCUGUGAGUAACGGCCAGGAUUCUUUCUUCAGGUUUGGUGAUUUGCUUAGUAGAACUCAAUGUGUGCCUGAAAAAGCACCAAGGAUAGCCAGUUCAUACCAGCCAGAGCAUCAGAAGUGAAUGGAAGUUGUCACCUACUUAUGAAACACUGAAGAUAAGUAAUUAAGCUUAGAACAAUUCCACACAGAUUAGGAAGGAGAAAGAUUUUAUAGGGUUGUUUGAAUAAUAGAUACUCAAUUAUUAUUAUUAUUAAUUUAUUAUUGAACUAAUUCACAAACAAUAAAGGAGUAGUGAUUGCAAAAAGAAAGAAGCAAUCAUGAUUGAUAAUGAUCACUGGUGGCACAUGAGUCACACAGAUGACUAUAUUUCUGGAACCCUGAGAUCUACUAAAGGAGAAAAAUAAUCUAUUCCCUUCAAUUCAAGUGCUUCCUUUAGGACUGUAGAAUAUAUUCAUUUUCUCUGACGUUAUAAAUUUCAUUCUGUUUUUAUAAUUGUAUCAGUGUGAGAGUAAACCAGUCCUAUAAAUAAGUAGAAAUAAAAAUCAUUGACUGAUUCUCAAAUAUUAGUUCCAAGAAAUAGAUCAGAAUACAUGAUGCCACCUUUAAAAAUAUUUUUAACUAAUGAUAACAUUAACAAUAAAAAAUUACAGACAAUGCCCACAUUCAGAGCAAGUUUGAAAAUUUCAUCUUUUUCAGAGAAAGAGAUUAAAUGUGUUGCUAAAAUGGUUGCCCAAAUGGCCAAUGGAAGGUGAAAACUACAGGUCAUUACUAGGAAAGUUAAAAAAAACAGUUAAUUUUGUUAUUUUCUCUGUUCAGUAGUCCCCAGAACAGACAUACUGUGUGAUUGGAGCAUCUUCCAUAACAGGAGGCACUGUCUGCACUGCACUGAGGAAUGUGAGCCAUCAUGAGUGAGACUCCAGUGUGAGCUUGUUUUGAAUGACUUGCUUAAGAAAAUACAAUUGUAGUGGCACAUGCCUUUAACACCAGCAUUCCAGAGGCAGAGACUAGUGGGUUUUUGAGUUCAAGGCCAGCCUGGUCUAUAAAGUCAAUUCUAAGACAGACAGACCUACACAGAAAAACUCUAUCUUGAUACUACCCUCCCCACAAGAGAGCAUUCAAUACAUUAUUUAAAAGUACAUGAUUAGUGAUGACCAACUGUAUCCCACUGAUUGAUCAGGGAUGGAUAUUAAGUAUUCUAUUUAUUAUACAUUCAUGAAUACCUGAAUAAAUUACUAUUAAUAUAUGAAUUUUCUCAAUACCGAUUAGGAAUGUCACAUAUGUUCUUGUCAUUUAUGAAUCACAGAACUUAACAUUUAUCAAUGGGCAAGGUAUAAAUCAAUGAAAUAGAUGGUCAACCUUGGAUCAAUGUUGACUUCUGGUAAAAUAUGAGUUAGUGUGUUGAAUGCAUUUAUGCAUUCUGAGGUCCAUUACAAAGGUUCCAUAGCCCAUUGUCUGUGUUUGAAAUGGUUAUAUAUCUAGAUAGUAGGAAUAUGCAAUGUAGGUCUUUGUGGUCUUUAUAUGUAUAUAUUUUCAUGAUUGGUCAAUGUGGGUAUGAAUAUGUACAUAUAUAAACAAAAACAAUGAAUAUAGUUAGGUAUUGUCUAAUCCUAAAACUACAUGUUAAGUUUGGGGAAUUGUUAAUAUACUAUGAAAUUAGCAAAAUUCAAAGAGAGAGUCACUACCCUUACCUCUGUGGCUAAUAAUAUAUAGAUAGUAUGAUUAAGAGAGUAUUCAAAUUAUUGCAGUAGCUAGUUUGAAAUUAUUUAUCUUCUUAAAAAAUAAAUGACUCCAAGUAUUGAUUGAGUCAAUAAGUUGCAAACAAGGAUGAAUAGUGAGGAUAUCUUAAUUUUGUCAUAUUCUGUGUGCUGUAUGUCUCAGAGGGAAGGAACUAUGUGACAUGAUGGGAGCAUCCCCCAUGGUCAAGAGCUCUGUACUUCCCUGAGAAGAUGUUCAUGCUGCAUGUGAGCUGAAGCCAAUAUUAUUUUCCUGGUUUUGGUAGUUUGCUUAAGAUAAUCACUGUAUUAUUACAAAGUGUGUGAUAUACUCAACAGUGGCCAACAUUAUGCCAGUGGCCAGUAGGGAUUAAUGCAAAGUAGUCUAAUGAUAAAGCAGACAGGAAGCAUGGAAGGUAAUUGACAAAAUAGUCACGCAAGUGUUGCAGUACCUCCUUAUGGAAGUUAUGGGUAGAAGGGUUCUUCUCCAUCUUGUGCAAUUCAUAGAGAUGGCAUUGGUAAUGAGAUGAUGGCUUACCUAACAGAUAGGAGAUGAACAGAGAAACACAGGCCAUUGUGGUGUGGGACUCAUGGAUGAACACACAUGUGGAAUUCUCAGAUCCAUCCCCAGAGGUUAGCAGUGAAUUCUUUGCUCUAAAUUAUCCUCUUGAUAAGUGUCAGGAAUUAGAACACAUUACAUUUUAUAGUUUGCAUUUAUGCAUUUUUAUUCCAGUCUUUAUGAUUGAGCCAGUGUGAGAAGUAAUAAACCAAUUAUGCAAUGUCAAAAUUUAAAAUAUAUCCUGAAGCGAAAGUGCCAUUAGUGGAUUCUGAAGUAUGUGCUGGCACAUCUUCCACCUCUGUGGCUAUGUUGACAUCAACAAUAUAAAUUAUAGAAGUUUUCUACUUCUGGGCCAAAGGGCAGUUCAAAAUAAUUCAUUUUUCUUUCUAUAGAAAAUGAAAUAACUGCACUCUCAAUUAAUGAUUGUUAAACAAUGAUUGAUUUAAAAAAGCUGAAACACAGUGCUCAGUGGAGACCAAAAAAAACAGCAUUUUCUUUGUCAUGGCUUCUGUUUUUUGUCUCUUAACACAGGCGAAUGGAAGGAGAGAUACUUAUUCACCCCCGGAGGCCAAGGACACUGUACCACAGCUGAUCUGUUCCUAAUCACGAAGAUAUCUGCCUUCACCCUUUGGGGAGAGAGAAUAUUAUGAAUUAAUGGAUGCACAUGGGCUCCUUUCAUCACUACCUCAGGACAAAGGGUCCAACAUUGACUGUAUGAUCAAGAGCAGAAUAGAUCUGGAGCCUGCACAACUGGAGAGAUCCAAGUUCUAAUAGCCUGCCAAGAAAAGGCAUAACACGGCCUUCUACCAGAGAACAGACGAUUCAAAAAUGAUGAUAUAUUGGAUAUGGUUCACCCAUGAGGAUUUGAUCACAGUUCACACCAUCCGUCCUGCUUCAGACCAACCCAGCAACGAGAGCCAUGGAGCUCAGCUCUUCCAUAGUACUCCCAGGAUCCAAGCAAGCUGCUGGGCCCUCGAAUCUCAGCUGGAAGAGCCUACUGGAAGCACCCAUGUGGUCACCAAGUGGGCGGGGCAGUGUCACAUAAGAAGCCGUAGACUCUGCAGACAUAAGUCACGGUCCCCCAACACAGAACCUUUGGAGGCGUGGUUGCGUGAUCCAGCUUCCUGUGUGGACAAACGCCAGGGACCCAGAGCCAGUCUUCCUGGGUAAGCUCUGCUUUUUCUGGUUACUCUCAAUGCUGUGUGUCAGGGACGAGGCCAGAGUUGGUCUAGUGCCUGCUUAGAUUGUAAGCACUGAAAGAAGGGCUUUCCAACUGUGACUCCACAGCCUGCAGGGAGGCCAGACACCAUGGCUUCUCCUGGACAGCAUGAGCUCCCUUUGGCAGUGGCUUCUCUGAGUGGAGGGCAUCCCCAAUUUCCAUAGCUCUGGUCAUCACAGAUGACUAGAUAGCAGGCUCCUCUCUGGUAGCUUGAGCUGGGACUUGAGAUAACCUCUGCUCCCCAUCCUGCAGUACUUUUUAAAAUGAUGCAAAGAAGACAGGUGUCAUGGUAUGCACCUGUGAUCCCAGCUCUGGAGAAGGAUUGCUAGUUUCCAGCUUUAGACAGUUGUAUUUUAUGAACUAAAGACUGCCAUGUGGGGCUCUCCUCUAAAAGAUACUAAGCUAAGAAAUCACAUAUUUGAAAAAUAAUAUUUUUUCAUUAAUGAAACAAGUUGUUGUUCAUUGGAAAGACAUGGAAAGUGUUUGGAGGGGAAGGGCAGAACAAAAAAGUUUUAUAGCCACACCACUCAAAGAUAACCACUGCCAACAUAUGGUUAACAGUGUAUGGUUUUUGCUUUAUUCCUGGAAAGAGAGAGAGUGUGUGUGUGUGUUUAAUUGGGUCAUCAUUCCUAUUUUUUCCUCAUCUGCUUAUAUAUCCUAAACUCUGCCCCAUGCCAUUCAGCAAUUUCCCAUCUCUGGUUUUUUUAUUGGUCACAUAGGAGUCUAGCCGUGACUAUAAGUGACUUAAUUGGUCUGUGUGUGUCCAUCUGCAGACAGAUGCAAAGCUGGAUGGUGUAUGUUUGCAGGCUUCUCCACAUGCUAUCUCUUCACAGGUUCUGACCAGUGUCUUGCUGUUCUUUGCACAAGUGAGUGAGUCUGUCAGGAGGCGUGAGCACGUGGCCAAAUUACCAUCUGCAAACUUUUUUUUUUGCCCAUUACAUGUUCAGAAUUAGUUUGAGAAAGUGCCUGCUGCUCUGGGAAUUAUCAGGGUUUUUAACCUUUGCCGCUUUGUCAAAACAUGACAUUUCCCCAUUUCCAUCCCCACAGCUUUUAUCACAGCAGCACAGAACACUUUUCCGCCCUCUUUGUGGGGUAUUUGUAUCUGAAUUGCCAGCUCAAGCUCCUUGCACUUUUCAUGAUUCCUUUAGUUUUUGUGUUUUUUUUUUUUUUUGUCAAGCUCAUGCAUACACAUCAAUUUUAAGAGCCAGAUCCUGCUACAAGACUGUCAGGGAGACGUCAGUCCUCCCACCCUCAUGGCUCCACCCGAAUAUUCUGCAAUACCUGUAACCAUUUAACUGAUUCUCUUGACAUUUACAUCCAUAACGCUAAGUAACACUCUUGGUUUUCUGCUUCUUGAUUUUCCUCCUUUCUGUGCGUCAUUUUUUUUUGAGCUUAGGCAUCGUUUUUGAUUGUUCUAUUGUUGAAGACAAGCCUUUAACUGUCUUUUACAUAUGCCCCUGUCUUCACCCUGCACACACAUCCCUGUGCUACCGUCCUUAUAGAUUAUUUUGAAAUGUUGGUUUGAUUAAUACUCCAAGAGUGUGAGCAUGCUCACAAAACUGGACAAUGCGGCCCUGAGUGUUCAUCCCCUCCCUUCUUCCGGAGAGAAAAAGGGAGGGAGAGAGAGUGUGUGUGUGUGUCUUUCUCAGUGGUCCUUUGGUUUUGUUUUGGCUUGUUUUAAGUGUAGCUCAGGAUAAUACAUACCAGCACAGUUUGUUUAAGACAUGCAUAUCAUGCUGAAAUUUCAUUUUGGAGUCAGGUUUCCUAGUUUCUCAUGAGCUAACUUUAGACUGCUACUACCUUGGUUUUCCCAUCUCCUCCUGGGGACAGGUUCCUUUGGUUUUUUUCUUUCCCUAGUUUUGUCCCUGGUUUUUAUAGAUACUGUGAUAUCUGGUUUUGGGAUUACUCUUAUGUUUUUCUAGAGUUUGAAGAGAAAUGGUUCAUGGGAAAUAACUUUUGGAGACCUUUCAGAUUUGAAUAGGAAAGUGUUCACACUGACACUGGUAAUUCAGCAGCUGAGUAUAAAAUUCUAUGUUAUGGACUUUCCCCUCAGAUUAUCAGAGACAUAUAGACUCAGAAAUGGGAACAAUGGCAAAGAAGACAGCUUAGAAACUCCAGGGAUAAUAAAAUGAGAGAGAGAGACCCUACCAAUAAUAUCACAGAUACAAAAGCCUUGUCUUCUGGCCUAUUGUGAGACACAUUAAGCCCUUGUCAUUCUUCAAUCUUGCAUUUAUUUGUCUGAGAAUGUCAUUGUUCCUAUGUUGAUCUGGAUCUCUGAUUAUCCAUUUUUACUCUUUUGAUCCAAAAAAACCCAUUUGGAUUUAUAAACCAAUUUCCCUCUCCAUUUCCCCUCCCCCAAGUACCUCAAUUGUAUAUUGGACCUCUUUGACUGAUUCUACAAUAUUGCUAAGUGUUCCCUCUAUUCUUAAAUUACUGCCAUAUGCUACCAACCUUUCCUCCCAUUCCUCCCCCUGCCUUUUUUCUCAUCUUCCAUUCAAUUUUGCUCAUGGAGCCUUUUAUUAAAAAUUGUGGGGCUGGAGAGAUGGAUCAGCAGUUAGGAGCUUGCACUUCUUUUAUAGAGGACCAGGGUUUGGUUCCCAGCAUCCAUCCUGGGCAGCUUACAACCAUCCAACCAUGGCUACCUCCAGCUGCAAGGGGAUCUGAUACCCUUCUGGCUUUUAUUUCACCUGCACAUGGAAGCUUGUACAUGCGCAUGAGUGUGUACCCACCCCCCCACUCACACACACUCACACUCACACACAUAUUCACACACACACACACACUCACACUCACACACUACACACACAAAGCUCUCACUCUCCCCCUGGCAUAAAUACUAAAAUAACUCUUAAAAUAGAAAUUGUUAGGUUAUGUAGGAAUAUAUUACUUAGGUUUUUUUUCCUUAUAGUUUCUUCAUUUGUAUUUUAUUUUUGGAUAGAAAGUUAUUUCCCAAAUAAAGCUCAUAUAAAUAGUCAACCUGUUUUUUUUCUAGAAUUUCUGUAAUUUCAUGUUUUAUAUUUUAAUAUUUAACCCAUUAAAUCAUCGCAAAAAUAUCCAAUUUCUACAUUUAUUGCAUUGCAUAUCAUUUUUAAACAUAUGCGUGAGUGUCUCAGCUGCAUGUGUCUGUGCACUAUGUGUGUGCAAUACUGAUGGUAACCAGAAAGGAAAUUGGUUUGCCUGGAACUACAGUUAGAGAUGCUUGUGACCUACCAUUCUGCAAGACAAGCAAGAGCUCUUACUUACUGAGCCAUGUCUCUAGCCCCCCAUAUGUACCUCUAUAGUUUUUACUUCUUGUGUUGACUUUCCCUAGUUCCCUUGACUUAUUAAAAUUUUAGGCCAGCUGGACUUGGUUUUCAUGUAUUAAUGUUACAGUGUAUCAUUGUUCACUGGCAAUAAUCUUCUUUCAUUUUCUCUCUUAUUUUUUCUUGUUAGGCUCAUUUGUUUAUUCUUUCAGGUGGGUUUUAGGAAUACCUAGAAGCUUAAAACACAGUACAUUUUCUGUGUAAUUUUGUAAUGUUCAUUAAAGCCGGGCAUGGUGGUGCAUGCCUGUAAUCCCAGCACUUGGGAGACAAAGGCAGAAUGAUUAUGAGUUCAAGGCCAGACUGGCUGCAGAGGGAAAACCUAUCUCAAAAAACAAAAACAAGCAAACAAAAAUGAACAGACAAAAAAUAAACACUAAAAAUAACUCUUUGCAUGCUAUCUUGCAGUUUUAAAUUUAUAUUUAUAAAUUUGUCAUAUUCACAAUUUGUCAGCAAGAUUAUUUCAAAGAAUGAAUUGUUACCUCUGUUGCAAAUCUGGCCCCUUCUCUUCACAUUUUUGAACUCCUUGUCAGUGGAAUGUUGAAAACUUUUAUAUAUACCUAGUUUCUAUCUGUCUUAUUGAAUUGAUUUGUUUGUUCUACAAACUUUUCAUUGAAUGAUUUAAAAUCUCUAGGUAAAGCCUCUUGUUUCUCCAUAGGCUCUGUAGUUUAUCUCUUCCAUGUUGUCUUGCUGAUGACUUUUUCUUAUCUUAUUGCAUUGGCUACAAAUUCUAAAACAAUUGUUAGUAACGGAAAUCUGUCUUCUGUUUCACUGUCGGGUACAAUUACAAAGAAUUUUUCAGACUAGACUUUUCUUUCUUUUUUAUAUCGCAGUAUUCUUAGUUCAUGUAUGAUUCAGAAGUAGAUUUAGAAUUUUCUGAAAUGCUUUUUUUUUAUGUUUGAGAGAUGUUUGUGUUGCUUCCCUCUGUCAGUAUAAUGAAUGACAAUAAUGUUUGGGGUCAAAUUCUAUUCGACUGUGGUAUGUUGUCUUUUUAAUAAGAUUUGCUUUGCAAGUGUUUAAUUUGGGAUUUUUUCCAAUGUGUUUGUUGUCAGCUUCCAGUGUCAAAGUCACGUCGUCGGCUUUGUAAAAUGAAUCAGGUGUCACUGCAUCUUUUUCUAUAUUCUGUACCAUGUAUAUAAUACAUUUAAAUGGAAAGUUCCAGGAAAACUUGAAUUUGCUGAGAUUAACCUCCUGUCAAGUCUUUCACGAUGCUUUCUGUUUCUUUUGUAUUGACUGGAAUCUUUUAACUUUCUGUAUCUUUAAAAGUUCUGCCUCUUUUCUGAUAUAUCACCGUAGUCAAGCUUUGAGAUAUAUUGAGCUUAAAUUCUUUCUCAUGGAGCUCUUGGGAACACUGUCUCCUUCCUUUGCUUAGUUUCCUGCUUUGUCAAUGGUUAAAAUGAGAGCCUAAAAGGGACCAUUGAGAAGAUAAAGAGAUAAAGUAUGUCAUCAUGUGUCUGUCACAGUGAGCACUCAAUUCUGCUUAGGUGUUACUUUUCCCUGGAGAUAAUCCAUUCUGAGAUUUAAAAUUUUUUAUUGGAAUAGAGUUGCAAAUAAUGUUAUGCUAUAGUGAAUUUUAUAUUUCUAUGAUUAUAGCUCCUCUUCAUUUCAUAUAUGCAUACUUUAUCUCUUUAAUACAUAAUCUAAACAAAUGUCUGUACUGUUUUCUUCAAAAAGUCCAUUCUUGGAAUAACUUUCUCAAUUCAACAUUUUGUGUGAGCAUGUUCACUGAUACCUGCCUUUAUCUUUACAAGUCCCGGCCUUCUGCUUCCCUCGAACUCGUUCAGUCUGUCUAUGUAUCCCCAACUGUUGCUCUUCCUUGAUGAUUGAACUAUUUCAUGAUAUGAAUUUGUCUCUCGUUGCAACUUUGACUUCAUGUCAUAUGCUUCAAUAUGUAGUCUUCUCAGCAACUUUGAAUACUUAUAAUUAUGAUUUCUUUUUGUUCUUAAAUGGUUAUCUAAAUGAAAUGUGAAAAAUAGAUUUCCCUUUAAAACUCACGUCUGCUUUAUUUGGGUUGUGUGUUGUCCGUGAUGCUUUCUGUUCAAAUGUGAUUAUAUUUUAUUGUAGCUAGAGAAUGUGCACGUAAACUCUAUUUUGGGCAAAAUUUUGAUGCCUUUUUAAGCAUGAUAUAAUCAACUUUGUAAAUGUUUCAUUGGCAUUUAAAGCAAGAUGUAAUACUGGUUUAUAGGACAUAGGUUUUGAUGUAAAGAAAUUUAAUCUUGUUAGUUUUCAUUUUUUCCUUUGAAUUUCCUUAGAAAAGGUUUGAAUUUUAUAAAUAACCAGACAUUUAAUCUUAUUCUGGGAGUUUGCAAUAUUUUUCUAUUAUGUUGCUUAGUACUUGGGGUAGGAAAACCCAAUACUGUUUCUGUUAAAUAUGAUGUUGGUUCUGGGUUUGAGGUUUGUCUAUCAUUUGGUCUUUUUGUGUUUCAUUGUGUUUGCCUAGCUGAUGUCCUUCCAACUGAGAGGCUUGGAAAACUGUUUCUAUAAUAUUGAUCUCCGUAUUUUGAUGUCUUAUGUUUUCUGGCGCGAUGUUCAUAGGUGCCAUGCCCCCCCCCCCCCCGUCAUGGAUUGUCCCUCCAUCUUAAACAGGUUUCGUCAACCUGACAUGGAGUCAUAGAAUUACAGUUUUCUUUUGUUUCACUUCCAAAAGUUACAUGACCCUUUUCAUAUAAUUGCUUCUGGAAGCAUCUAUUGAAGGCUACGUGUUAUUUGGAGACUUGCUCUCAGGAACCCACCAAAGCAGUCUCUCAUGCCCCAUGAUGCUUUUCCAUUUUGCUCUUAAAUACACAAUUGAUUGUUUCAAAUUAAAGUCAGAGAUGGGCUGUUUCAAACCUGCCCCGUGACCUCCAUAGUCAUCUACUUUGUGUAUUUACAACAUUAGGGUUCUCAGCAGUUUUUAGCCAUUUUAUUUUUCCAUUUUCAUUUGUUUAUAACAAAAAACAAAAGCAAAAUGUGAUUAAAUAACUUUUUACAAGGGCUGUUAAAACCUUUAUUUGAACCCAGCAGCCCAAUAACUCAAAGAUAAAGCUACCCUGUUUUGAUUGGAGGUGGACAUGUCCCUGAGGGCUGGGUGCUGGGCACAUUU